rfam:Danio rerio chromosome 14, GRCz11 reference primary assembly.
GCCGGCAGCUAGUUCUCUGCAUCUCUCACAUGGUCGCCCACUGAAGCUAAGGAGGGCUGCACCUGGUUAGUAUCUGGAUGGGAGACCACAUGGAAAAGCUAUGUUGCUGCUGGAA